rnacentral:rRNA from 1 species
GACGGAGGAGGCAAGCGUUAUCCGGAAUUAUUGGGCGUAAAGGGUACGUAGGCGGCUGGUCAAGUCUGGGGUCGAGGGCCACAGCUCAACUGUGGGAAGGCCCUGGAAACUGACCGGCUAGAGUGAGGUAGGGGUUGCGGGAAUUCCCGGUGUAGCGGUGAAAUGCGUAGAGAUCGGGAAGAACACCUGAGGCGGAAGCGCGCAACUGGGCCUCAACUGACGCUGAGGUACGAAAGCUAGGGGAGCGAAUGCG